UACGUAGGGGGCAAGCGUUGUCCGGACUUACUGGGCGUAAAGCGUGUGCAGGCGGGCGGCUAUGUGCCGUGUGAAAGCUCCCCGCUUAUCGGGGAGAGGUCGCGGUAGACAGGCUGCCUGGAGGCUCGGAGAGGUCAGUGGAAUUCUCGGUGUAGUGGUGAAAUGCGUAGAUAUCGAGAGGAACGACCAGUCGGCGCAAGCGGCUGACUGGCCGAGACCUGACGCUGGAGACA
rnacentral:rRNA from 1 species